rnacentral:antisense_RNA from 1 species
CUUCACCGAGCCCAGCAGAAGGGGCUGUUCCCGGUCCUGGCCGUAGGUCGCCAGCAGUGCCUGCGCCUC